rnacentral:rRNA from 1 species
UUGAAAAGCCAGGGGAUGACUUGUGGAUCGGAGUGAAAGGCUAAUCAAGCCCGGAGAUAGCUGGUUCUCCCCGAAAGCUAUUUAGGUAGCGCCUCGGACGAAUACCACAGGGGGUAGAGCACUGUUUCGGCUAGGGGGUCAUCCCGACUUACCAACCCGAUGCAAACUCCGAAUACCUGUGAGUACUAUCCGGGAGACACACGGCGGGUGCUAACGUCCGUCGUGGAGAGGGAAACAACCCAGACCGCCAGCUAAGGUCCCCAAGUACCAGUUAAGUGGGAAACGAUGUGGGAAGGCUCAGACAGCUAGGAGGUUGGCUUAGAAGCAGCCAUCCUUUAAAGAAAGCGUAAUAGCUCACUGGUCGAGUCGGCCCGCGCGGAAGAUGUAACGGGGCUAAGCGAUAUACCGAAGCUGCGGAUGCAUGUUUACAUGCAUGGUAGGGGAGCGUUCUGUACGUCUGUGAAGGUGAGUCGUAAGGCUUGCUGGAGAUAUCAGAAGUGCGAAUGCUGACAUGAGUAACGAUAAAG